rnacentral:rRNA from 1 species
UACGUAGGUGGCAAGCGUUGUCCGGAUUUACUGGGCGUAAAGAGCGCGCAGGCGGUCGUUCAAGUCGCGUGUGAAAGCCCCCGGCUCAACUGGGGAGGGUCACGCGAUACUGAUCGACUCGAAGGCAGGAGAGGGUAGUGGAAUUCCCGGUGUAGUGGUGAAAUGCGUAGAGAUCAGGAGGAACACCGAUGGCGAAGGGAGGUCUCUGGGCCACUACUGACGCUGAGAAGCGAAAGCAUGGGGAGCGAACAGG